AUUGAACGCUGGCGGCAGGCCUAACACAUGCAAGUCGAACGAGUGGCGGACGGGUGAGUAAUGUAUGGGAACCUGCCUGAUGGAGGGGGAUAACUACUGGAAACGGUAGCUAAUACCGCAUAACAUGCGAUGAGCCCAGAUGGGAUUAGCUCGUAGGUGGGGUAAGGGCUCACCUAGGCGACGAUCCCUAGCUGGUCUGAGAGGAUGACGAGCCAGACUGGAACUGAGACACGGUCCAGACUCCUACGGGAGGCCGCAGUGGGGAAUAUUGCACAAUGGGCGCAACCCUGAUGCAGCCAUGCCGCGUGUAUGAAGAAGGCCUUCGGGUUGUAAAGUACUUUCAGCGGUGAGGCGUUACCCGCAGAAGAAGCACCGGCUAACUCCGUGCCAGCAGCCGCGGUAAUAC
rnacentral:rRNA from 1 species